rnacentral:rRNA from 1 species
AACGAACGCUGGCGGCGUGCCUAACACAUGCAAGUCGAACGAAAAGGCCCGGUUUUGUGGCGUCCGGCUGCGUACGGCGUGGUAACCUGCCCUUAGGUUCCCCCUAACUCCCCGAAAGGGGUGCUAAUACGGGACAAUGUCUUCGGACCAAUGAUUUCUUGCCUUUGGAUGGUCGCGCGUUAGAUUCGCUAGUUGGUAGGGUACUAGCUUACCACGGCGAGGAUCCAUAGCUGGUCUGAGAGGAUGAUCAGCCACACUGGGACUGGGACACGGCCCAGACUCGUACGAGAGGCGGGAGAGGGUGAUAUAGGACAAUGGGCGAAGGCCAGAACCAGCAAGGCCGCGUGAGUGAUGAAGGCGUUAGAGUUGUAAUGCUGUAGUACCCGGGAUGAUAAUGACGGUACCGGGAGAAGAAGCACCGGCUAACUACGUG